rnacentral:lncRNA from 1 species
GGGAGAGAGACCAGUGUGGGAACUGCAUGUACGCUGGAAAGCUUUUUAAUGAGUAUCACUGACAUAAUUAAGAAAUUAUCUUUAUGCAUUUAAAGAGAGGACUCGCUUAUGUGCUGUAUGGAAUUCUUAGUCUGCAUCUCUGGAAAUCAUAGAAUAUUUCUUUGCUUUGGCUUAGAAACCCACAAUUUAGCACAUGCAUUAUGAGGGAAAGUCACUUCUGGGGUGACAGUCAUCUCAUCCUGAAGCAAAUGUAUAAACUAGGUCAGAUAAAACUUUACUUGCAAUAAAAGGAUCUGGAAGGAGACUGGCUGAGGCAUCAAUUUCGACACUGAAGAGGUCUACGUAUGGACUGGAAAGAAGUGUACAAGCAGCCACUCCUGAAACACAUCAGAAACUCUGCUUUCAGCUUCUCUUCUGGCAAUGCUGGAACUUCCAGAAGAGUCGUUGAUGCCUGCCUAAUUCUGCUGAAGCAAUCAGGAGAAGAUUCAGAUCGGAAUUACUACCAGCAGUGGAAGGGGAGAACUAGAAACAGAAGAAAUAUGGGUGAAAUGGAUUUUCUGCGUGUAAUAUGAAGUUGCUGCCUCUAUUUUUAAAGAAGCACUAUUUGCGCUUAUAAAAUCACAGAACUGCAGGGGCUGGAACGGACUUCUGGAGAUCAUUGAGACCAACACCCUGCUAAAAGUAUCCGGGAUGAUUCUGGAUUUCGAAUAACUCCAGAGAAAGACAGCCCACAAGUGUUCCAUCCCUUGGAUCAUUUUUCUGGCUCUUCUUUGGGCAUGCUCCAACAGGGGCAGCAAGACCCAGUGGGGGACAUGGACCUGGCGAGCAGCGGAUCCUUUCCAGGACCAUGAAUGAACAAGAGCUCUCUCAAUAAACAUGUCCCUCA